GUUAGGAAUAUUGGGCAAUGGAGGAAACUCUGACCCAGCAACGCCGCGUGAAGGAUGAAGGUUUUCGGAUUGUAAACUUCUGUUCUAUGGGAAAAAACAAAUGAUGGUACCAUAGGAGAAAGCCACGGCUAACUACGUGCCAGCAGCCGCGGUAAUACGUAGGUGGCAAGCGUUGUUCGGAAUGACUGGGCGUAAAGGGAGCGUAGGUUGUUUUUUAAGUUAAAUGUGAAAGCCCGGGGCUUAACUCCGGAAUGCCAUUUAAUACUGGAAGACUAGAGUGCAGGAGGGGUGAGCGGAAUUCCUAGUGUAGCGGUGGAAUGCGUAGAUAUUAGGAAGAACACCAGAGGCGAAGGCGGCUCACUGGACUGUUACUGACACUGAGGCUCGAAAGCGUGGGGAGCAAACAGGAUUAGAUACCCCUGUAGUCC
rnacentral:rRNA from 1 species